rnacentral:rRNA from 1 species
CAGUCGCCACGGGAAUACGUAGGUGGCAAGCGUUGUCCGGAAUUAUUGGGCGUAAAGGGCUCGCAGGCGGUUUCUUAAGUCUGAUGUGAAAGCCCCCGGCUCAACCGGGGAGGGUCAUUGGAAACUGGGAAACUUGAGUGCAGAAGAGGAGAGUGGAAUUCCACGUGUAGCGGUGAAAUGCGUAGAGAUGUGGAGGAACACCAGUGGCGAAGGCGACUCCCUGGUCUGUAACUGACGCUGAGGAGCGAAAGCGUGGGGAGCGAACAGGAUUAGAUACCCGCGUAGUCCCUGUCUCUUAUAC